AGGCAGCAGUUAGGAAUCUUCCACAAUGGACGCAAGUCUGAUGGAGCAACGCCGCGUGAGUGAAGAAGGGUUUCGGCUCGUAAAGCUCUGUUGUUGGUGAAGAAGGACAGGGGUAGUAACUGACCUUUGUUUGACGGUAAUCAAUUAGAAAGUCACGGCUAACUACGUGCCAGCAGCCGCGGUAAUACGUAGGUGGCAAGCGUUGUCCGGAUUUAUUGGGCGUAAAGCGAGUGCAGGCGGCUCGAUAAGUCUGAUGUGAAAGCCUUCGGCUCAACCGGAGAAUUGCAUCAGAAACUGUCGAGCUUGAGUACAGAAGAGGAGAGUGGAACUCCAUGUGUAGCGGUGAAAUGCGUAGAUAUAUGGAAGAACACCGGUGGCGAAGGCGGCUCUCUGGUCUGUUACUGACGCUGAGGCUCGAAAGCAUGGGUAGCGAACAGGAUUAGAUACCCUAGUAGUCC
rnacentral:rRNA from 1 species